rnacentral:rRNA from 1 species
AGCCUGAACGCUGGCGGCGUGGCUAAGACAUGCAAGUCGCACGGGUGUAGCAAUACACCAGUGGCGGACGGGUGAGUAAUGUAUCGCUAACGUACCCUUCAGUCCGGGAUAGCCGAGGGAAACUUCGGGUAAUACCGGUUGACAUCACGAUCAGGCAUCUGAUUGUGCUCAAAGGCGUAAGCCGCUGAUGGAGCGGGCGGAGUAUCGUAUCAGCUUGUUGGUGAGGUAACGGCUCACCAAGGCGACGACGCGUAGCCGGACUGAGAGGUUGGCCGGCCACAUUGGGACUGAGACACUGCCCAGACUCCUACGGGGGGCUGCAGUAACGAAUCUUCCGCAAUGCACGCAAGUGUGACGGAGCGACGCCGCGUGUGGGACGAAGCCCUUCGGGGUGUAAACCACUGUCAGGGGAUAGAAAGUUCUGAUCAUCCCCAGAGGAAGGCACGGCUAACUCUGCGCCAGCAGCCGCGGU